AUUGACGUUUAUAAAUAUAGACCACGUACGAUGGUUCGAUCUCUGGAGAGUUAACUGUUGGAACUCAAUUUUACAUAUGUGACUCCGGCCAAUUUUCCGGUGACUUUUCCGUUGAUGUCCGUCACCGAAAUGACCGGAUUAUGGAGUUUUUGGAUUCCUUGUAAUGAACACUAUAAGAUAGUGUAGUUACAUAUAAAAAAUAAAGUU
rnacentral:sRNA from 1 species